GACGAACGCUGGCGGCGUGCUUAACACAUGCAAGUCGAACGGAAAGGCCCUGCUUGCAGGGUACUCGAGUGGCGAACGGGUGAGUAACACGUGGGUGAUCUGCCCUGCACUUCGGGAUAAGCCUGGGAAACUGGGCCUAAUACCGGAUAGGAGCCAUUUUUAGUGUGAUGGUUGGAAAGUUUUUUCGGUGUAGGAUGAGCUCGCGGCCUAUCAGCUUGUUGGUGGGGUAAUGGCCUACCAAGGCGGCGACGGGUAGCCGGCCUGAGAGGGUGGACGGCCACAUUGGGACUGAGAUACGGCCCAGACUCCUACGGGAGGCAGCAGUGGGGAAUAUUGCACAAUGGGCGCAAGCCUGAUGCAGCGACGCCGCGUGGGGGAUGACGGCCUUCGGGUUGUAAACUCCUUUCGCUAGGGACGAAGCUUUUUGUGACGGUACCGAGAUAAGAAGCACCGGCUAACUACGU
rnacentral:rRNA from 1 species